rnacentral:ncRNA from 1 species
UGAAAAACCAUGACGGGGAAAAGUAGGAUUUAGUUAUUUUUUACAGAGAGCUUCGGUAGCUGAAAAGGAGCAAAAAUACGAAUCUGAACAAUGGCCCCUGAGUUGCGUGCUGAACAUAGUGCUUGCUAUUAGUAGGUUUCGCCGAGCUGGUACUCGUUACAAAUACCUCGGUAUUAAGGCAAUUUGCCGGCGUACUGACUGAGGCUGUAUUGUGCGAGCAUACAGUGAAAUAAGGUGGUACCACGUGAAUACAAACCACGUCCUUAUC